UCAGAGUGCUUCAAACAGGCGUUUUUCGCUUGAAUGAGCGUGCAUGGAAUAAUAGAAACGAUUUCGGUCUAGUUUUUUGGUUUUACGGACUGAGAUAAUGGUUAACAGAGACAAACGGGGGCAUUUGUAUGGCCCCGUGAGAGGUGAAAUUCUUGGACCGUGGCCAGACAAACUACAGCGAAAGCAUUUGCCAAGAAUGUCUUCAUUAAUCAAGAACGAAAGUCAGAGGUUCGAAGGCGAUCAGAUACCGCCCUAGUUCUGACCGUAAACGAUGCCAACUAGCGAUCCGCCGAUGGAAAUUAUAUUGCCUUGGUGGGGAGCUUCCCGGAAACGAAAGUCUUCCGGUUCCGGGGGAAGUAUGGUUGCAAAGCUGAAACUUAAAGGAAUUGACGGAAGGGCACCACCAGGAGUGGAGCCUGCGGCUUAAUUUGACUCAACACGGGGAAACUCACCCGGCCCGGACACUGUGAGGAUUGACAGAUUGAUAGCUUUUUCAUGAUUCAGUGGAUGGUGGUGCAUGGCCGUUCUUAGUUCGUGGAGUGAUUUGUCUGGUUUAUUCCGAUAACGAGCGAGACUCUAACCUACUAAAUAACUGGUACAUACUCUUAGUGUAUACAGCUUCUUAGAGGGAUUUGCGGUGUUCAGCCGAAAGAAAUUGAGCAAUAACAGGUCUGUGAUGCCCUUAGAUGUCCGGGGCUGCACGCGCGCUACACUGGCAAAAUCAACGUGCUUGUCCUACCUCGAAAGGGGCGGGUAAACCAUUGAAAAUUUGCCGUGAUUGGGAUCGGAAAUUGCAAUUAUUUUCCGUGAACGAGGAAUUCCAAGUAAGUGCGAGUCAUCAGCUCGCGUUGAUUACGUCCCUGCCCUUUGUACACACCGCCCGUCGCUGCCCGGGACUGAGCCAUUUCGAGAAAUUUGGGGACCGUUGAUUUAAUUUUUCUAAAUUACUUUGAUGGAAACCAAUUUAAUCGCAGUGGCUUGAACCGGGCAAAAGUCGUAACAAGGUAGCGGUAGGUGAACCUGCUGCUG
rnacentral:rRNA from 1 species